CAAAAGGUAGUUUAAUAAAAAUGCUAGUUUUGGGGAUUAGUGAUGGGGGGAAACCCCUCCUUUUGA
rnacentral:tRNA from 1 species